AGACUUUGUUGUGAAGAACAUUCAUGAGACAGCGAGUGUGUGUCAAAAUGAGUGGGCAGCAACACGAGCAGAGGAGGAACUCAAAAACUGUUCUCUUUCUUCUCAGUGUGUGAGCGAGGUUUAUGAUAGGACACCAGUUCUGCUACUGCUGGUGUGUGUGUGAGAUCUCGAUUGUGUUUGGCCUACAACGAGGAUACAUAUUAAUGCCGGGGAAACAGCAUAGCUUGUUCAAAGGUUUCAUUGGAGGCCAAUGUAAGAGGUGGCGAGAAUAAGUGUUGGAUUUCCAUCUGGUCAGAGAUACGAUGUCGUCCUACAAUGUUAAAUUGAGAAGAGUUGGAAUCGCUGACUAUGACACACAGAUUAAAGAGGUUCGUAAUCAGCUCUCCGAGCAACUCCGUGUGUUUGAUAAUCAUUUGGAGCAGAAAACCCAGAUACUGCAGGAUCUGAGUGAUUAUCUGCGCAGACGUGGUGAGAUUGAGGGCGAGUAUGCGCGCUCCCUGGAUAAACUGGCUGACAGAUUUACCUCAAAGACCAAAAAGAAGGAGUCCAGCAGUGAGUCUGUGUUAAAGUGUUGGCAAGAGUUGUUGACUCAGACACGUCAUGAGAGUAAAGACCACACCACACUGAGUGAGAGUUGUGGCACUGCUUUACCCCAGCAGUUGUCUCGCUGUCUGGAACUCGUUCAACGUUUGGCUAAGAAAAGUAAAGAUAUUAGCAGUCAGUUACAGGACGGACUGCUGAAGGUCACAGCUGAGCUACAGACCACGCUGAAGACGUAUUCCCUGUAUCACACCGAGUAUUUGUCGGCCGAGGGCAAACUAAAAGAAGCCACUAAACAGGAAGAGAAACAAAAACAGAGUGCAGCUAAGAAAAUGGAACGACUCAUGGAAAAAAGGCAGUGUAAAGUACAGGAGACACAGCUGAAAUGCACCAAAGCACGCAAUGACUAUCUGUUCAACCUGGAAGCAGUAAACGUUUCCAUGCACAAAUAUUACCUACAAGAUCUCUCUGCCCUGAUUGAUUUCAGCGAUUUAGGUUUCCAUCAGUCGGUGUGCCAAGUGCUGCAGUAUUACUUGUCCAGCCGCUCACAGGCCCACCAGAACCUGGAUUCUGGAUUGCAUCAGUUGGGAAAUGCAGUUUCUGGACUGGAUCAGAUCCAGGACAGAGACAUGCUGAUACAGGCUCAUGAUGCGGCUUUCUGCAUGCCACUUCGAUUUCAGUACCAGCCUCAUGAGGGAGACCAGGUACUGGUGUGUGAGGUGAGCGCUGAUUUUGACGUGAAGAGUGAGCUUGAUACUCGAUUCCACCAGCUUCAGUCCAGACUCAUCACACUCACUGCAGAAAAUGAAGAGCUGAGUAAAAUGCUGCAACAAUCUCAUGCUGUCCUGCUUGAGAGCAUCAAUGAGGAUAUCUUCAGGUCUGAACACAGCCAAUCGUUAGAGAACAUCAGUGAAGCUUCUGCCAAUAAGAUCAAUCACGCGAGACGUCGAGCCAGUUUGCAAGAGACGGAAAGCUCGUACUCGACGAAAUUUAAGGAACAUCUCAUUAAUGGUUUGCUAAAAUCAAAACUGCAGGCAAAGCAUGACUUACUCAAAGUUGCAAUACAAAAAGCUGGAACAGUGGGUGGGCAGCAUCACAGAAUGCGUUCCCGGAGGUCUGUCCGUCAGAGGAAGUAUCAGCACCCCACUCAGAUCAACCAGAAACCUUUUUCUCGAGACAUGCUCUCAUACAUACAGGCUUCUGGAGAACCAGUUCCUUUGGUGGUAGAGAGCUGCAUCAGAUUCAUCAACCUUCAUGGCCUACACCAUGAGGGCAUCUUCCGAGUCCCUGGCUCUCAGCUGGAGGUCAAUCGGCUCAGAGACUUGUUCGAGAAAGGUGAAGACCCCCUAGAUGAGGAAAUUUGUGACUUGGACUCGGUAGCUGGUGUGCUGAAGCUCUAUUUCAGAGGAAUGGAAAACCCUCUCUUUCCUAAAGACAGCUACGACCAACUGAUGGAGUGUGGACGAAUAGAAGAUGAAUCAGAGAAAGUGGCACAGUUAAAGUCAGUUAUUCUUUCCUACCCUUCUCCACUAGUUGUGGUGAUGCGUUACCUGUUUGCGUUUCUCCACCAUAUUUCCCAGUACAGCGAUGAAAACAUGAUGCAGCCCUACAACCUGGCUGUGUGUUUCGGACCCAGUCUUAUCAGAGGGCCUGGAGAUGCUGAUCCUGUUACUCUCCAGGAAAUCAAUGCUCUUGUCAAAACAAUUAUUAUCCAGCAUGAAAGCAUCUUCCCUUGCCAGAACGUAAUAGAGGGACCUGUAUAUGAGACGUGUAUGACACUAGAGCCAGAUGAUAUUGAUGCUACUACAGAGGAGUCAGAGGUGGAACCAGAUGUGUCUCCAAACAAAGAAGUCAAAGAGGAGCUGGAAGGAGUUGCCUUGUUCGACUACACGGCCCGUUCCCUGGCUGAACUGUCCUUCCAAAAGGGUGGACGUCUCCGUCUUUACAGCAGAGUCUCUUCUGAUUGGUGGAAAGGAGAAAUAGACGGUUCUAAGGGGCUUAUCCCAAAUAAAUACAUUAGUGUACCAAGUAUGGAGGGAGGGCAGGAGCACAAAGAAAGACACAACACUGGAGGCCAGACAGAGGAGCAGUCAGCCGGCUCGACACAAACACGGUACACCUCAAAGAAACAAAGCAUUCACCGACAAACCGGGGCUCAGUUCCAGCCAAGCUCUUGCGGGGAAGCUUUCCUUACAAUUACCCACAGUACAACCACCAAGCACUUCUCCAAGGGCUUUGCGAAAACCUGACCCCUAUAUGAGAAGGACUACACCAGACAGUGAAAGAGAGGAAGUCAAAAUCCUGGUGGACAAGGAGGUCUGUCAUCAGAUGAACUGUGUCUUUAAGGAGAUGGUUGUUCGCCAGCAACAACAAGAUCAAAUCUCGUCAUCUUCUGCCCAACCCUCAACCCUCUCCUAUUCCUCCGUCCCCCCACCAAUCUUUAACAAGAAAGCAAUAAUACAGAGAGGAAAAAGCAAUUCUAAACCAGGUGAACCGAUGAACUGAGAAGUGAGGGGAAUUAAUCCUGACACACACAGAGACUUACAUAAUGUACUAAACUCAAAAAGAGAACUUCAACGUGUGUUCCUGUAAAAACAUGGUAAUCUGUCGUUUUUAUUAGUUCCUCAUAAUAUUUAUUUAUUAAUUCUUUGACGCUUUUCUAUGAUCAUAUUACAUGACUAUACCACUGCUGUAACUUCUUUAUUUAUGAUUGUCUUCAGCCACCUAAUUCGGUUCAAUCAGUUAAAGUGGUAAUUUAUAUUCUUUGCUAUUUAUUCUCCAAAAUGUGCAUAACAGUCUUCAGAAUGGAAUAAAAUAUUAUAAUAUAUAAACCUGUGAGCAUCAUCUUCCAGUGUAAAGUGUCGUAAAAUCCCCACAGCCUAUUUAUACUGUACCUACCGUAUACUUAAAUGUGAAGGUUUAAGCAAAACACUUGAUCCAAAAAUUAUUUACACUGUAUUUUGUGAGGUAAUUAAAAAUAAAUAAAUAUAUAUUUAUAUUUAUUAUAUAUAUAUACUAUUAAAUAAAUAUAAAUAUAUUAAAUAAUAUUUAAUACAAUUUUAUUUAUUUAAUAGUGUUACUGCAUAUUGUAACUGCAUAAUAUUAUUGCAGAAGAAAAUGGUUUAGGAAAUUGGUGUAAAUUGGUGUAGGUAAUGUUAUUAGAUGCUAUUCACAAAAUGAAAAAAUAAAGAAAUAACAAAGCUUCACUAAUGUUCAGUUUGUAAUGUACUGUAUUUUUGAUAUGUAAUAUUAGACCACAUAUGAAAACACAUAGAUAGACACAGGGAUAAUUUUGUGGUGUUUGUGGUGAUAAAAAAUGUAAAAAGGUUGCACAUUGAUAUUUUUCCUAUGGUGGAGGAUUUAAUUAAUGGCCACACGGCUCCCUGAAUGUUCACCUAAGUUUCUUUGUUUUAGACAUACAACAGGAUUCUUUGCCGAACUGUAUUUUUUAUCAUCCACGCUUUGGUAUUAAAUGUGUCAUUGCAUAUUCAGCCUGAAUGAUGCUUCUAUUA